rnacentral:tRNA from 1 species
GGUUGUAGUUCAGUGGUAGAGCUCUUGCCUAGCAUGUGGGAGGCACUGGGUUUGAUUCUCAGCACCA